rnacentral:rRNA from 1 species
GAUGAACGCUAGCGGCAGGCUUAACACAUGCAAGUCGAGGGGCAGCAUGAAGGUUAGCAAUAACCUUUGAUGGCGACCGGCGCAAGGGUGCGUAACGCGUGAGCAACUUGCCCGUUUCUGGGGAAUAACCGGUGGAAACGCCGACUAAUACCCCAUAGUAUCAGAUUGAGGCAUCUUGAUCUGAUUAAAGAAAUUCGGAAACGGAUAGGCUCGCGUGACAUUAGCUGGAUGGCGGGGUAACGGCCCACCAUGGCUACGAUGUCUAGGGGUUCUGAGAGGAAGGUCCCCCACACUGGAACUGAGACACGGUCCAGACUCCUACGGGAGCAGCAGUGAGGAAUAUUGGUCAAUGGUCUGACGACUGAACCAGCCAUGCCGCGUGAAGGUCACGGCCCUAGUGGGUCUUAAACUUCUUUUGUAAGGGAGCAAUAAGGUGCACGUGUGCAUCGAUGAGAGUACCUUACGAAUAAGCAUCGG